UACGUAGGUGGCAAUCGGUGUCCGGAAUUAUUGGGCGUAAAGCGCACGCAGGCGGUCCUUUAAGUCUGAUGUGAAAGCCCACGGCUCAACCGUGGAGGGUCAUUGGAAACUGGGGGACUUGAGUACAGAAGAGAAGAGUGGAAUUCCACGUGUAGCGGUGAAAUGCGUAGAGAUGUGGAGGAACACCAGUGGCGAAGGCGACUCUUUGGUCUGUAACUGACGCUGAGGCGCGAAAGCGUGGGGAGCAAACAGG
rnacentral:rRNA from 1 species